AAGUGCAAAAAGAGGCUUGAGAGAAUAAGUUACAUAGCACAAAAUCGAUUCACACUCUCCAAGAAUUUAUGUGGCAACCGAUUUUGGCUCUAGGGAGCUCCUUUUAUAGUGUGGCAAGUGCUAGGGUUACUCCAUGCAAACCCUAAUGCACCAUGACUCUUCAUAUUACUUAGGCUCCAUGGGUUAAACCUCCAUGGACUAUCCAUGUUGGUUUAGCCCAUCUUAAUAACCGUGGAUCGUUGGCCCACACUAUAAGAAUCAUUGAUUUGCCAAAUCAGUCCCCGUAUAUUUAAUUAGUCUCUUUUAAUCACUAAAUUAAUUCCAAAUUAAUUCUUGAUCAAUACUAACUAAAUAAUAUGAUUUCAUAUUAAUAUAUUAUACUUGUAAUAUAUUAACAAAUCACAAAUAACCUUAUUCUCAAAAGUCCAUCCUAUCAAGCUGCAUUGGUGAAGACAACCCAAAAGGACCAUGCUACUCUCGUGUCAAGUACAUACCAAUUAUAGUUAUGGGCUUAGACACCUAAUCCAACAGUCUCCCACUUGGAUAAGUCUAAUACUUAUAACUGAAAGUACGACUUAAAACACCGACUAGCAAUCGUAGUUCUUAAAAUCCGUUGUCGAACUCUGACCCAGUAAGUGACACGUCCUUUAGAAAAGGGAUCAUAUAAUCCUCUGUUCUUCAAGAUAUCAGAUGGAUAAAUACAUGGAACAAUUUCAUACUUACUGUCCAGUAGUUUGUUUCUCGAUUUCUGAUUUGUUUGACAGAGAACUUAAUUGAACACAUCAAUUUAGUCUCGACCAGGCGCGACACAUAAGUCAAAACAAAAUCAUCUAGGGGCCCAAGAUAUCACUUUUGAUCCUCCAAGUAUUAAAUGGAACAGAUAAACUUCGACAUUAUAUGUGUGUACUAACUAUUCAUCAAAUCAUACACAACAGUGAAUUUUAUAACAUCAAGUACUGAUGCGUUUUCGCACUAUCAAUGUAUAUAACCAACUCAUACUCAACAACUCAUAUAUCUUGGUUUGAAGACUUAUAUGAUAUUAUCGUCUCACGAUCACUCGUGAUAAAUUCCAUGAAGUGAUUCAAAUGAGCAUGGGUUUAAUCCAAUACUCAGACCUUAUGAAUACUCAUGAAUGUUGUAGCAAUCUCUUGUUAUGUCUAAAACACUUUAGACAAUCUACAAGCCAAAUUCUUGACAGUCUUGCCUCAAUACCUACUUUCAAAGUAUGAUCAACUAUGGACAGUUUGAAUAAUAUAAAUAUUCUGGAAGUUAAAGCAUGCAAAAUGAAACAAUAGUAAACAAUUGACAGAAGAUAGUAACUUUACUCAUAAAUAAAACAUCUUUUAUUUAAUCAUCAAAUAUCAAUUACAUUUUAUCUAUUACAAGUUUCAAAAUAGCUAUCUAAUCAUUAAAACUAAUAUCAUCCUUCAACCCAAUGCUCCUCGUAUGCUGCAAAUGCUUAACCUUACUCGGUCCCUUCGUGAGGGGAUUUGUUUGGUUCUCAUCUGAUGAUACCCUCUUUACCAAGAGGAGUCCUUCUUCCACCCGAUGUCUUAUGAAGUGAUAUUUCCUGUCGAUGUGCCUGGAUCUGCCAUGAUCCCUUGUUUCUUUGGUUAAGGCAACCGCACCCUCAAUGUCAUAGAAAAUCUCCAUAGGCUCCUUUAUAGCUGGUACAACUCCAAGGUCUCCGAUGAAGUUCUUCAGCCAUAUCGCCUCCUUCUACACUUCGCUUGCUGCAAUGUACUCUGAUUCACACGUUGAAUCAGCUACAAUCUCCUGUUUGGAAAUUUUGCAAGUUAUUGCUCCUCCAUUCAGGGUAAAAACCCAGCCCGACUGAGAGCGAAAAUUAUCUUUGUCGGUCUAAAAGUUGGCGUCACUAUACCCUGUGACUCUUAAGUCAUCACUCUCACCAAGAGUAAGGACUCAGUCCUUAGUCCUGUGUAGGUACUUAAGAAUAUUCUUUACUGUAGUCCAAUGAGCUUUACCAGGAUUCCCUUGAUAUCUGCUGACCAUGCUCAAAUCAAAGGCCACAUCAGGGCGAGUAGAAGUCACAUCAUACAUGAUCGAGCCAACUGCGGAAGCAUAUGGUACUUGACUCAUCUCAACUAUCUUAGCCUCUGUACUCGGACUCUGAAUCUUACUCAGUUUGGUAUUUCCUUGGAUGGGUAAGUCACCUUUCUUGGAAUUCUCCAUGUUGAAUCGUUUCAACACCUCGUCCAAGUAGGUACUUUGACUAAGUCUAAUUAGUCUUUUACUCCUGUUUCUCAAUAUCCUUAUCCCUAGGAUGUGAGCAACUUCUCCAAGGUCCUUAAUAGUGAAACACUUCCCAAGCCAGGACUUAAGCUCUUGUAAGGUUGGAAUGUCAUUUCCUAUGAGUAGUAUGUCAUCCACAUACAACACCAGAAAGCUAACUGUAUUCCCACUAGCCUUGACAUAUACACAUGACUCAUCCUCGCUUCUCCAAAAUCCAAACUCUUUGACUUUCUGAUCGAAACAAAGAUUCCAUCUGCGAGAUGCUUGUUUCAAUCCAUAAAUUGAUUUCUCAAGCUUACACACUCUAUUAGGGUAAUUAUCAUUAACAAAACCCUCUGGCUGACUCAUGUAAACAUCCUCAGCUAAUUUCCCAUUAAGGAAAGCGGUUUUGACAUCCAUUUGCCAUAUUUCAUAGUCAUGAAAUGCAGAUAUGGCUAACAUAACCCUAAUAGAUUUAAUCUUCACUACUGGUGAGAAGAUCUCAUCAUCGUCAGCUCCAUGAGUUUGAGUAAAGCCCUUCGCAACCAGUCACGCCUUAUAUGUGUGUGCUUUCCCAAUCAUGUUGGUCUUCUUCUUGAAGAUCCAUUUGCACCCAACUGUCUUACGACCCGGCACAUUGUCAACCAAGUUCCAAACUUGAUUGUCAUACAUGGACUGGAUCUCGCUGUCCAUAGCCUCUUUCCACUUUGCAGACUCGGGGCUUGCCAUGGCUUCCUUGUAAUUGUUAGGUUCAUCAAAAAUCAGUAUGUUAUCAAUGAUAAAUGUAUCACCCUCAGAUGUUAUAUGGAAACCAUAUAAACAGGUGGAACACUAACUCUACUGGAGCGCCUUAGAGGUACGGACUCGUCAACUAGUUCAACAGGGGUUUCCUCCUAAGGUUGAUUGCUAGUGUUUGAGGUUCCUUUACCGCUUGGCUCUUGAAGCUCUUCAAGGUCAAUUUGCCGUCUAUUGUCCCCUUAGCCUAUGAGUUCUCUCUUGUGAAAGAUUCCUCUCCUCGCAAUGAAGACAACAUUGUCACUUGAUCUAUAAAAGAGAUAACCAAAGGAUUUAUGUGGGUAACCGAUGAAAAUACACCACUCACUAUAAGGUUCAAGCUUGUCGUGAGUCUCGCGUCUCACAAAAGCCUCACAACCCCAAAACUUGAUGUGUGCUAAAGAGGAAACCUUCCAUGUCCACAUAUCAUGAGGUUUUUUGGCUACCUUCUUAGUUGGGACUAGAUUAAGGAUAUGGGCGGCAGUCUCUAAGGCAUACCCCUAGAAUGAGAUAGGUAACGAAGCUCGAAUCAUCAUCAAACGAAGCAUGUCCAACAAGGUUUGAUUGAGCCUCUCGGCCACACCAUUAAGUUGUGGUGUUCGAGGUGGCGGUAGUUGUGAGACAAUCCCACAUUCCUUAAGAUAGUCUUAGAAAUCGAUACUAAGAUACUCACCGCCCUGAUCGGAUCGGAGCAUCUUUAUCUUCCUGCCUAGCUGAUUCUUCACUUCUUGUUUAAACUCUUUGAAUCUUUCAAAGGUUCCUGACUUUUGUUUGAUUAAGUUGAUAUCGCCAUAUUUGUUGUAAUCAUCAAUAAAAGUCACAUAGAAGCGGUUAGCAUACCUUGUGGUGGUUCUGAAAGGUCCACACACAUCGGUGUGUAUGAGAUCCAACAAACCUUCACCCUUUUCACAAGUACCGGUGAAGGGUGACUUGGACAUCUUUCCAAGCAAACAAGACUCGCAAGUUUCAUCCGACCUUAACUCGAAUGACACCAAGACUCCAACCUUUUGGAGUUGGCCUAUGCGCUUCUUGUUGAUAUGUCCAAGGCAACAAUUCCAUAAGCAUGCCUUAUCCAAACUAUUGGAAGAAUCAAUGUGCAACACAUUUUUUCCUAAGUUGUCUACAACCAUCACAGUUUCAUAUACACCAUUACAAGGCAAUGCUUUAAAAUAAAAAAACACCAUUAUAAAAAGCAUUAAUAGCACAAUCUCAUUAUCAAAUAAAAAACUAAAACCUUGUUUGUACAAACAAUGAAAGGAAAUAAUAUUUCUCCCCAUAUCAGACGAGUAGCAAUAAUUAUUCAAAUCUAAUUCUCAACCACUACUAAGCAAUAAAUAAUAAACUACAAUCUUGGUGACAGGUGAAACCUUCCUAUUCCCCAUGAUCAAGUUCAUCUUCCCGUGCUCCACAUCCUUACUUCUUUUUAGUCCCUGCAAAUCAGAAUAAAUGUGAAAUCUACAAUCUGUAUCAAGGAGCCAAGAACAAGAAUGUGAUUAGUUAUUAGAUAGAAUAGUAUAAAUAUCUGCAUGGGUGGCCUUAACCUUCCCAUCUUUGACAUCCUGCAAGUAUUUGGGGCAGCUUCACUUGCAAUGCCUCUUUUCAUGACAAUGGAAACACUCUUCUUCCUUAAGAAUGGUAGAUGGAGCAGCAAAACCAGCCAUGGUCCCACUGGAAGAGGAUCCAUCAAGAGACUUUCCCUUGUGGCUCUUGGAAUGAGCCUUUCUCUUCUUCCCUUUCCCAUGUCCAAUUGCCAAGACAGGGGCAAUAGCAGUAGGAGUAGAAACAAUAGAUUUACCUUUAAGACUACUUUCAGCAGUCCUCAAAAGGCCUUGAAGCUUGCUAAGAGUGACCUCCUCCUUGUUCAUAUGAUAGGUUAUUCAGAACUAAUCAUAACAUGGAGGUAAAGAGUGUAGAAUGAUAUUUAUCGCCAACUCUUCAUCAAAGUUCACAUUCAACUUCAACAAGCAGUCCACAAACCUUUGCAUUUUCUGCAAGUGAGCCGUGAUGGGUUUUCCAUCCUUCAUCUUUGUUGUUAUCAUGGAGGCGGUGAUUUGAUACCUCUCUUGACGAGCACUCUGAUGGUAUCUUUCCAUCAGGUCUUGGUGCAUCUCAAAAGGGUAGAAGUCCCCAUAGGAAUUUUGGAUUUCAGCUGUCAUAGUGGCCAACAUGAUACAAGACACCUUGGUGGCAUCUUUCUCAUGAGUCCUAAACUCAGCGAUCUCCUCAGGAGUAGCAGACGACUCAUCAAUUUGCUUAAGCUCUUUGUUGAGGACAUACUCCUUGUCCUCGUAACGAGUAACCAUUCUGAUGUUCCUGAUCCAAUCAUUGAAGUUGGAACCAUCAAAGAAAACUCUCCCACACAAUUUCAUUAGGGAGAAAGAGCCCGUAGGGUUUGAGCCAGAAGCAGUGUUGGAAGACAUCUGAAAAAAGAAAGACAAAGUUUAGAUUAGAUAAGAGUCCUUAAUAUGACACCCAAAUGAAAUAUUAGGGCUAGGACCCAACACAAUAUUUUACAAUUUGGAAGAGGGAUGCCGUAAUCCAAUUGCAAAAUAUUUGAAGGUAGGUAAAUGACGAUUUACCAAUUUCCACCAUGAAAAACGAAAUGGAUGUGCCGGUUAACCACACACGCUCCAUUAACGACCUGGAAAGGUGCAAAGUGCAAUUUCAUGGAUUAGCAUCAAUUUCACAUUUUUCCUAAAGUAACUAAGAUUGAGAAUUUAAUAAAACAUUUAGUUACUUUAAAAUUAUCAUUAUACUUUUAACAAGAAUUAUUGUCCUAUCCUACCCAUUCGGCUAACGACCCUCCACCAGUCAAGGAAGCGGUGGGGGAGAGUGGACACCCAUUAAACCACCAUUUUAUAGGCAGUAACCCUAUACCCCUUAUAGAUCGGCUUCGGGCNAUAGGCAGUAACCUUAUACCCCUUAUAGAUCGGCUUCGUGAAUGAGGCCUACUAGCAGUAAGACUGACUUGUCUUAUACAUAUAUAUAAUUAUUAAACUUUUAAUAUUAUAAUAGUAUAUGGGUUGAAUUUUAAACUUUUAAAAUUCUAAGGUUUGGAAUUAAAGUAUUCAUAAGUGUGACUUUACAAAUUCCAAAACUUGAGGGCAAGUUUUGAAACUCUUCAAAACUUUUCAUUUUCAUAAAUUAUGAGUUUAAUGACUUUUAAAGAAAAAACUUUUCAUUUUCCAUAACUUGAGGACAAGUCAUGGAGUUCAUUAAAGGAAUUUAGAUCAAUAUUUUAAUUAACAAAAUAAUCAAAUAAUUUAUCUAUGAUCUAGUUAAAAUCAUAAGUCAAGAUAAUUCAUAUCAACAAUUUGCAAGAAAUUAGCCUAAUCAUAAAAACUAAUACAAAUCUUGAAAUUUUGAAAAUUAUCUUUUAAUUGGAUGAGCAUGAUCACUACCAUAUCAAGAAAACAGAUUUCAUCAUUCAAAAAACAAUUUGUGGUAAUCAUCCUAAUCCAAUUUUGGCCAAAAACUCGAAAAUCAGCAACCAGAACCAUCAACUCGACGAGUGCAUGAACCUGACUCGUCGAGUUGGUCUUUUACUGAGUGGACUCGGCUAGUUCAUCAGUCAAAAGCCAGAAAAUCAUUUUUUUUUCAAUUUGGAAAAUUAAUAUGCAUCAAGUAUAACAGAAAACAAUCAUAGGCUAUGAUACCACUGAAGGGUUUUGAGCACUCUGACAACCUUAUGGUGCACAUGCAACCCUAGAUGCUUUGAAUCUAUGUUUUCUCUAAUUAUACAUGCAAAUUGAUUUUCCAAAGCAUACUUCCUGACUAGCAUACAAUUUGAAAAUUGAAGAACAUAACUAGUUAGAUAACUUACCUCUUAAUAGGACUUGUAGUUCUUGGCCUUCAAAAGCUUUAGCACCUCAAAUGUGAUGCCUCUAAUGGGUCACAAACACCAAGUGCAAAAGGAGGCUUGAGAGAAUAAGUUACUUAGCACAAAAUCGAUUCACACUCUCCAAGAAUGUAUGUGGCAACCAAUUUUGGCUCUAGGGAGUUCCUUUUAUAGUGUGGAAAGUGCUAGAGUUACAUCCAUGCAAACCCUAAUGCACCAUGACUCUUCAUAUUACUUAGGCUCCAUGGGUUAAACCUCCAUGGACUAUCCAUGUUGGUUUAGCCCA
rnacentral:lncRNA from 1 species